AGAAUGUAUGAAUCCUUUAAAAUCUAUAUAUGUAGUUACUAAGCUAGUGACAAUUUAUGAGGGGUUGAUUUUAAUGAAUACUAAUAACCUCAAGAUUAAUUCUUCUGAAUGCAUCCUAUGAGGUUAAUAUGCAUGAAUUAAAGUGUUAACAAAAUACUGACAAUUUUCUUACAAACACAACUCUCCCCUAAUUACUCAAUGUUAUUUCUCUUGGACUAUCACCUGUAUUGGAUCUAUUAUC
rnacentral:lncRNA from 1 species